UGGGAAGAGUCUGUUGAGUGGC
rnacentral:miRNA from 1 species